rnacentral:rRNA from 1 species
AGCCCAAGACGCCUUGCUCAGCCACACCCUCAAGGGAAUUCAGCAGUAAUAAACAUUAAGCCAUGAGUGAAAACUUGACUUAGUUAAGGUUAAAAGGGUCGGUAAAAUUCGUGCCAGCCACCGCGGUUAUACGAAAGACCCUAGUUUAUAGGCACGGCGUAAAGGGUGGUUAGGGGACUAAUAAAAUAAAGCCAAAGACCCCCAGAGCCGUCAUACGCCCAUGGGAGCACGAAGCCCAAAUACGAAAGUAGCUUUACCAAAUAUACCCGACCCCACGAAAGCUGGGAAACAAACUGGGAUUAGAUACCCCACUAUGCCCAACCUUAAACCUUGAUGAAAACUUACAAAACCAUCCGCCUGGGGACUACGAGCACAGCUUAAAACCCAAAGGACUUGGCGGUGCCUCAGACCCACCUAGAGGAGCCUGUUCUAGAACCGAUAACCCCCGUUAAACCUCACCACCUCUUGUUUUCCCCGCCUAUAUACCGCCGUCGUCAGCUUACCCUGUGAAGGCCCAACAGUAAGCAAAACGGGUUUAACCCAAAACGUCAGGUCGAGGUGUAGCGCACGAGAUGGAAAGAAAUGGGCUACAUUUUCUACCACAGAACACCACGAACGGCACCCUGAAACAUGACGCCUGAAGGAGGAUUUAGUAGUAAAAAGCAAAUAGAGUGUCCUUUUGAAUUAGGCUCUGAGGCGCGCACACACCGCCCGUCACUCUCCCC